rnacentral:rRNA from 1 species
GUGGGGAAUAUUGCACAAUGGGGGAAACCCUGAUGCAGCGACGCCGCGUGAGCGAAGAAGUAUUUCGGUAUGUAAAGCUCUAUCAGCAGGGAAGAAAAUGACGGUACCUGACUAAGAAGCCCCGGCUAACUACGUGCCAGCAGCCGCGGUAAUACGUAGGGGGCAAGCGUUAUCCGGAUUUACUGGGUGUAAAGGGAGCGUAGACGGAGCAGCAAGUCUGAUGUGAAAACCCGGGGCUCAACCCCGGGACUGCAUUGGAAACUGUUGAUCUGGAGUGCCGGAGAGGUAAGCGGAAUUCCUAGUGUAGCGGUGAAAUGCGUAGAUAUUAGGAGGAACACCAGUGGCGAAGGCGGCUUACUGGACGGUAACUGACGUUGAGGCUCGAAAGCGUGGGGAGCAAACAGGAUUAGAAACCCCAGUAGUCC